UCACAGAGACAGGCUCACCUGCUGCAUCAGUCCCUCCACCUCCUGAAACAGCAGCCAUUGCCACUGCCAAUCCACAGACAAACGCAGCAACUACAGGCUCAGCAGAGCUCAUUCCCCUGCCUAACUACGUGAAGCUGUUGUUGCUGAAAUACCUAAACAGCCUGUGCCAGCCAAGGAGACCUGGGAUGCCAGAAGUAACAUUGGAAGGGUGUGUAAAGGAUCCAACCUGUGGGAAUCACCCUUCAUCAGGCCAGAGGCUCAUCCAGCUCCGUUACAGAGCUCCUGUAAACCCUGGAAUUUGCCUGCGGUGCAGAGUAUCAGGGUGCAAUGCACCCCCUCCUCCUCCUCCUCCUCCUCCUCCCAGACCCUUCCCAGGGAACAGGCUCCCUUUUCCUCCUCUGAGACCCUUCCCAGGGAACAGGCUCCCUCCUCUCAGACCUUUCCCAGGGAACAGGCUCCCUCCUCUGAGACCCUUCCCAGGGAACAGGCUCCCUCCUCUCAGACCCUUCCCAGGGAACAGGCUCCCUCUUCCCAGACCCUUCCCAGGGAACAGGCUCCCUCCUGUCAGACCCAUCCCAGGAAACAGGCUCCCUCUUCCCAGACCCUUCCCAGGGAACAGGAGAAGAGCCAGGAGAAGCACAAGCGACGUCGUUAUUGUCAUCGCCCCCCAGUAAUGAUGCUUCUGACCAUGGUAUUAUGUUGAGCACCUCUAGACCUGUUCAUUGUGCUCCAAGACCUGCUGCUCAUUUCUAAAAAUAUGCUAGUGGGUGUAAAUCUAAAGGUAGUUCAUCUUAAAUGAACUUGGGUUGCUUAAAUUCAGAUCUUUAGGAUCUACACAGCGGAUCUUGUAAAAGCCUGAACUUCAAUAAAUACUCUCAGUGACAAAAAAUAA